rnacentral:rRNA from 1 species
GUGUGGUUUAAUUCGACGCAACGCGAAGAACCUUACCAGGGCUUGACAUCCCCUGACCGUCUAUGAAAGUUAGGCUUUCUACCUUCGGGUAGACAGGGAGACAGGUGGUGCAUGGUUGUCGUCAGCUCGUGUCGUGAGAUGUUGGGUUAAGUCCCGCAACGAGCGCAACCCUUACGGUUAGUUGCCAGCGGGUUAUGCCGGGCACUCUAGCUGAACUGCCGUUGACAAAACGGAGGAAGGUGGGAUGACGUCAAAUCAUCAUGCCCUUUAUGUCCUGGGCUACACACGUGCUACAAUGGCCUGUACAGAGGGAAGCGAAAGGGUGACCUGGAGCGAAUCCCAAAAAGCAGGUCUCAGUUCGGAUUGCAGGCUGCAACCCGCCUGCAUGAAGUCGGAAUCGCUAGUAAUCGCAGGUCAGCAUACUGUGGUGAAUACGUUCCCGGGCCUU